AUUGAACGCUGGCGGCAGGCCUAACACAUGCAAGUCGAGCGGAUGAAGGGAGCUUGCUCCUGGAUUCAGCGGCGGACGGGUGGGUAAUUCCUAGGAAUCUGCCUGGUCGUGGGGGCUAACGUCCGGAAACGGGCGCUAAUACCGCAUACGUCCUGAGGGAGAACGUGGGGGAUCUUCGGACCUCACGCUAUCAGAUGAGCCUAGGUCGGAUUAGCUAGUUGGUGGGGUAAAGGCCUACCAAGGCGACGAUCCGUAACUGGUCUGAGAGGAUGAUCAGUCACACUGGAACUGAGACACGGUCCAGACUCCUACGGGAGGCAGCAGUGGGGAAUAUUGGACAAUGGGCGAAAGCCUGAUCCAGCCAUGCCGCGUGUGUGAAGAAGGUCUUCGGAUUGUAAAGCACUUUAAGUUGGGAGGAAGGGCAGUAAGUUAAUACCUUGCUGUUUUGACGUUACCAACAGAAUAAGCACCGGCUAACUUCGUG
rnacentral:rRNA from 1 species